rnacentral:rRNA from 1 species
GCUUUCGCGGUAUGGGAUGGGGUCGCGUCCUAUCAGCUUGACGGCGGGGUAACGGCCCACCGUGGCUUCGACGGGUAGCCGGCCUGAGAGGGCGACCGGCCACAUUGGGACUGAGAUACGGCCCAGACUCCUACGGGAGGCAGCAGUGGGGAAUAUUGCACAAUGGGCGCAAGCCUGAUGCAGCGACGCCGCGUGAGGG